rnacentral:rRNA from 1 species
GACGAACGCUGGCGGCGUGCUUAACACAUGCAAGUCGAACGGAAAGGCCCUGCUUUUGUGGGGUGCUCGAGUGGCGAACGGGUGAGUAACACGUGAGUAACCUGCCCUUGACUUUGGGAUAACUUCAGGAAACUGGGGCUAAUACCGGAUAGGAGCUCCUGCUGCAUGGUGGGGGUUGGAAAGUUUCGGCGGUUGGGGAUGGACUCGCGGCUUAUCAGCUUGUUGGUGGGGUAGUGGUUUACCAAGGCUUUGACGGGUAGCCGGCCUGAGAGGGUGACCGGCCACAUUGGGACUGAGAUACGGCCCAGACUCCUACGGGAGGCAGCAGUGGGGAAUAUUGCACAAUGGGCGGAAGCCUGAUGCAGCAACGCCGCGUGCGGGAUGACGGCCUUCGGGUUGUAAACCGCUUUCGCCUGUGAGGAAGCGUGAGUGACGGUAAUGGGUAAAGAAGCACCGGCUAACUACGUG